GGGGAGGGGCUCAGGACACCACCUCGCAGAAGGACCUACUGGGCAGUUAACAGUUGCUGGGGAAGGAAAGUCAUAAUCCCUCAGUGCUGUAGUCACUGGUGGGGGCCACCAACCCAGGCUUCUUAAAAAAGAGAAAAAAGAAGUUGAAAACUGUUUACCUACUGUCUGAAGAUCUUUUCUUUAGAAUUCUUUUAACGUUAUUAACAUCCUCAAAUAUUUAUCAACAGCAUUUAAGACACAAUUGAUAAUUGGCUAUAUAAGGCUACUUUGAUCUCAUCACUUGAAAAAAGCCAGUACUAGGCUGGCAAGAUGGCUCAGUUGCCACCAAGCACUAAGACCUGACUGAAUUCCUUUCCUAUAACCCAUCUAGUAGACGGGAGAAAAAUGAAAAUGAUUCCCACAAGUUGUCCUCUGACCUCUACACACACACACACACACACACACACACACACACACACACACAGCAAUCCUUAUGUGUGAUGGAGAACAUCAUUCUACACAUUAUUAAGGCUUCCAAUAGAGACCCACUAACAGCGCUGUCACCAAUAUCAAGGGGCUGUAACUCCUUCAACGCCUGGUCUCUAAAGGCAAAAUGAUGACGCUUGUUCCAAGGCAGAUCUGCAAGUCCCUUCACUGCCUGGGCCUGCUAUUCAUACUUCAAUUAAAUGCCUUUCCAACUUAAGCUGAA